AGUGAACGCUGGCGGUAGGCCUAACACAUGCAAGUCGAACGGCAGCACAGUAAGAGCUUGCUCUUACGGGUGGCGAGUGGCGGACGGGUGAGGAAUACAUCGGAAUCUACUUUUUCGUGGGGGAUAACGUAGGGAAACUUACGCUAAUACCGCAUACGACCUACGGGUGAAAGCAGGGGAUCUUCGGACCUUGCGCGAUUGAAUGAGCCGAUGUCGGAUUAGCUAGUUGGCGGGGUAAAGGCCCACCAAGGCGACGAUCCGUAGCUGGUCUGAGAGGAUGAUCCGGCACACUGGAACUGAGACACGGUCCAGACUCCUACGGGAGGCAGAAGUGGGGAAUAUUGGACGAUGGGCGGAAGCCUGAUCCAGCCAUACCGCGUGGGUGAAGAAGGCCUUCGGGUUGUAAAGCCCUUUUGUUGGGAAAGAAAAGCAGCAGGUUAAUACCCCGCUGUUCUGACGGUACCCAAAGAAUAAGCACCGGCUAACUUCGUG
rnacentral:rRNA from 1 species